rnacentral:lncRNA from 1 species
UUACUGUCACUUUUGAAAAAUAUUAACUUCCCAGGAUCACAAUUUUGAUUGUAAACUGUUUACAACAUGGAUAAUUUAUUUUAUUUCAUUCUGCACUAAAUCUGUAAAUUCAAAUGAUUACUGAAGGAUCACACAUUCCAUUACAUGAAUUACAUUUUAAAUGAUAUUAAAAUAGGAAAAAGUUAUUUAGUUGUAAUAUUAUUCCACCAUAUUCUAGUUUUUACUGCAUUUUUCAUAAAAGUAAAUGCAGCCUUGGUAAACAUAAGAGACGUCUUUCAAAAAUCUUAACUGCAAACUGGUGUGGAGCAGAGUGAGCUGUGUGGUCAGUGGUCAACCAGGACCUUUCACCCCAUGUUCAGAGUCUGUGGCACCUUCGACUCUAAGAUACAGGUGUGAAAAAUUACUAUUCUAAGACUGACAAAUUGAUAUUGAGUUGAAUUCUUUGAGCUCAAUAUUUUGCCUUGACCCAAUUGAGGCCCUAAAGCUCGGUCGCUGUGACCAUUUUAAUGAAUUUCUGUAGCGGAAAUGGGCCACGGGUGAGGCGGGCAGGGGCUUUGACGAGAGCGUGUGCACCUCCGGGAGCAUCCCUCUCCUUCAACCUCGCCUCAUUAGUCUAACUGGGCAGUUACAGAGCUGUUGUGUGUCACAUCUAUUUUGGUCCCCCUAAACUCCAAAGUGGCCCCUCAACUUAUCUUCCUGUAUUCUCCAUUUCCCCUCUCACCACCCAGGAGACGAGGUGGAAGAGAUGCGAUUGGGCCCGGACCCGUCAUCAUCAAGGAGACAGGUGGCCAAGGAGGAAUCGGUCACUAAUGCGGUCGGCUAACUGUGUCAAGGACGUAGAACCCAAACCUGGUACAGUUCACCUGUGAGAGACCUGAGAGCACGAACGCAGAGAGGAACUGACCCACUAAACCAACUUACAACUCUACAGUCUGCACUCUUCUUGAAAUUAAAGCAGUGGGAGACUGAUGAGUCCACCUGGACUCCCUGGUGUGUGAGAUGUCCCUGUGAGAGUGAAACACACCGUCCAUUCCGCCUCACUAAGUGUGUGUUUGGAGUCAGAGGCACAAUCCACGCUGCUGUGCCCACAGAUGGUCACACUACAGGAGCAACAUUUUGUUCUGUCUCCCAAUGGUAUCUGAGUGCUUGGUGGUGGGGUCAGGCAGUUCAGAGUGACUGGGGAAGGAUGGGAUUGUGGAGAGCAGUCACAGAUAUCAGACUCUGCAUUUUCAGUGGCUGAUGAUAGCAGCUUAAAGGCUUAUACUGUAAUAGGAAUGCCUUGAGAUUGGUUAAUCAUCCUUUGAUUUGGACUUUGAUAUUUGUUGUGGAGUACUGUUGUGUGUGUGUGUGUGUUUAUAUGUGUGCAUAUAUACAUGUGUGUUUCUGAUUUGGUCAUUUCAGUAUUUUGAAUGUCUUUAUUCAAAAGUGUGGCUGUUAAGAUUUUUUUUUAUGUUAUAGAAAGAAAUCUCUUUCAGCAAGGCUGCAUAUAUUUAUUGACAAAUACAUUAAAACGGUAAUAUGUAAAAAUAUUUGUACAAUGUAAAAUGUAAAAACAGUAAAAAUUCUAAUAUGCUGAUUUGCUGUUCAAGAAACAUUUUGUAUAACCGUCACUGUUGAAAAUUUUUGGGGAUCAUUGUGACCAUUUAUUUCAGGUUAUUUAAAAAAAAAAAAAAUAGAAUAGAAAGUUCAAAAGAAUAGCAUUUAUUUGAAAUAGAAAUCAUUUGUAACCUUAAACAUAUCUUUACUAUUAUUUUUGAUACCCUAAAUGAAUAAACAGUUGUGUGUGUAUACAUAAAGUUAUAUGAGAAAUAUUUUUGUCAAAUUAUAUGCAAAAAUAAGUACAACAAAGGAAAUAAGCUAAUAAAUGAGUUAAUUGUACCUAAAAAUGGCAGUUUUCCAAUCUAUUCCUGUCAGCUCUACUUCAUUUCAGUUCAUCUGUAGGGAUUCAUUUUAUGUGUGUGUGUGUGACUUUUGAGGCCCCUCUGAUUAGCAUAUAAGUGUCCCGUCGGCUCGAUUGCUACUU